rnacentral:rRNA from 1 species
AUUGAACGCUGGCGGCAUGCUUUACACAUGCAAGUCGGACGCGUGGCGAACGGGUGAGUAAUAUAUUGGAACGUACCGAGUAAUGGGGGAUAACCAAUCGAAAGAUUGGCUAAUACCGCAUAUUAUCCGAGCGGCCAAUAUCCGCUAAGCUCGUUGGUGGGGUAAAGGCCUGCCAAGGCGACGAUCAGUAGCGGGUCUGAGAGGAUGAUCCGCCACACGGGUACUGGGACGCAGCCCAGUCUCCUACGGACGGCAGCAGUGGGGAAUUUUGGACAAUGGGCACAAGCCUUAUCCAGCCAUGCCGCGGGUCUGAAGAAGGCCUUCGGAUUGUAAAGGACUUUUGGUAGGAAAGCGUUACCUUAAGAAUGAGCACCGGCUAACUACGUGCCAGCAGCCGCGGUAAUUC